AGAAUAGAAUAGAAUAGAAUAGAAUAGAAUAGACAGCUUAUUGAACCCCCAGAGAAACUGGCUAUUGUUGUUGGAUAUCAAGGUCUACACUGAUGUUUGUUCACAAUCCUGGCCAACAGAGCCAGUCCUGAUUCAAAUUCUCCACAAGCAAACUUCAGCAGUGUACAGGCUGCAUGUCAGGAAACCACUGCCACCAUGCUCCACCCAUGAGCUCAUUACAUGCUAACAACCCACUAGCUAGUAUGGAGUCCGUCUCACCUGAAGACCAUGAAAAGACCAUUUGUAGUCUGCCAGUUUUUCUUCAUUUGUCGAGGCCAAGUUGUCACACAGUGUCAAGUUUUUUUAAACUAUUUUUGACGAAUUACACGUCAUUGUCAUGAACCACGUCUGUUCUUUAACCAAAGUCAUGUCAUAAUUACUCACUGCCUCAUUGUUUCACCCCUCCCGUCACAGAAACUCAUAAUCAGCAUCAUACCACUCACCUGUUGUCACCAGUAUUUAAGGUCCACUCUCCCACAGCUCCAGUGCCAGAUUUAUGAACAGUUCUCCUAGUAAUAGUCCAGCAUUCAUGUCACGUCAUGCCUGCCUCGUCUCAACCUUGUUUCUCCUCACUGGUUCCACGUCUCCCGCCUUGCCCCUGAAUGGUACUGCCUCAGACUCUGAACUCCUGGUUUUGACCCCCGCUCUGGACUCUGGAUCUCUGCCUUCUGUCUCUCUCCCUGUCGGACCUGUUCAGCCAUCUGAUCCUCGGAUUUCGACCACCGCCUGUCUGCCCCGACCUCGAGUUAAGUCUGCUCGUCCAAACCUGGUUCUGCUCUCAGUCUGCCUGUGUAUGACCCCCGCCUGUCCCACAGAUCCCCCUGGAUCUCCAAGUCCCACCGGAGGCUUCUCACUAAACACAGAAGUGUCGCCGGUCUCCACCCGAUGCUUUCCACGUCUAUCAAGAGUUCACUAAGGACCAAGCGUUCCCUUAAAAGAACUCCUGGUUCCCUUGACGUGUCGAUCCAGAUCCAGCUGCCUGUUUGUUAAUAAAACCCUUAAAACUG